rnacentral:rRNA from 1 species
CCUACGGGUGGCAGCAGUGAGGAAUAUUGGUCAAUGGACGAGAGCCUGAACCAGCCAAGUAGCGUGAAGGAUGACUGCCCUAUGGGUUGUAAACUUCUUUUAUAUGGGAAUAAAGUGAGCCACGUGUGGGUUUUUGUAUGUACCAUAUGAAUAAGGAUCGGCUAACUCCGUGCCAGCAGCCGCGGUAAUACGGAGGAUCCGAGCGUUAUCCGGAUUUAUUGGGUUUAAAGGGAGCGUAGGUGGAUUGUUAAGUCAGUUGUGAAAGUUUGCGGCUCAACCGUAAAAUUGCAGUUGAAACUGGCAGUCUUGAGUACAGUAGAGUUGGGCGGAAUUCGUGGUGUAGCGGUGAAAUGCUUAGAUAUCACGAAGAACUCCGAUUGCGAAGGCAGCCCACUGGACUGCCACUGACACUGAGGCUCGAAAGUGUGGGUAUCAAACAGGAUUAGAUACCCGAGUAGUC